UACGCAGAUGACGAAAAAAAUAGACAGGGACAUCAGUACUCCAAAGGAGAAUGUUGACUGUCUAAUGGGAAUCUCUCUGAUGCGUU
rnacentral:snoRNA from 2 species